AUUGAACGCUGGCGGCAGGCCUAACACAUGCAAGUCGAACGGUAACAGGAAGAAGCUUGCUUCUUUGCUGACGAGUGGCGGACGGGUGAGUAAUGUCUGGGAAACUGCCUGAUGGAGGGGGAUCACUACUGGAAACUGUAGCUAAUACCGCAUAACGUCGCAAGACCAAAAAGGGGGACCUUCGGGCCUCUUGCCAUCGGAUGUGCCCAGGUGGGAUUAGCUAGUAGGUGGGGUAACGGCUCACCUAGGCGACGAUCCCUAGCUGGUCUGAGAGGAUGACCAGCCACACUGGAACUGAGACACGGUCCAGACUCCUACGGGAGGCAGCAGUGGGGAAUAUUGCACAAUGGGCGCAAGCCUGAUGCAGCCAUGCCGCGUGUAUGAAGAAGGCCUUCGGGUUGUAAAGUACUUUCAGCGGGGAGGAAGGGAGUAAAGUUAAUACCUUUGCUCAUUGACGUUACCCGCAGAAGAAGCACCGGCUAACUCCGUG
rnacentral:rRNA from 1 species